UGGGGAAUAUUGCACAAUGGGCGCAAGCCUGAUGCAGCAACGCCGCGUGAAGGAUGAAGGUCUUCGGAUUGUAAACUUCUAUCAGUAGGGAAGAAUAAAUGACGGUACCUAACUAAGAAGCUCCGGCUAACUACGUGCCAGCAGCCGCGGUAAUACGUAGGGAGCAAGCGUUAUCCGGAUUUACUGGGUGUAAAGGGUGCGUAGGCGGCUUGGUAAGUCAAAAGUGAAAUUUCGGGGCUCAACCCCGGAGCUGCUUUUGAAACUGCCGAGCUAGAGUGUGGGAGAGGAAAGCGGAACUUUGAGUGUAGCGGUGAAAUGCGUAGAGAUUCAAAGGAACACCAGUAGCGAAGGCGGCUUUCUGGACCAUUACUGACGCUGAGGCACGAAAGCGUGGGGAGCAAACAGGAUUAGAUACCCUGGUA
rnacentral:rRNA from 1 species